rnacentral:rRNA from 1 species
GAUGAACGCUGGCAGCGUGCCUAAUACAUGCAAGUCGAACGAGAGAUUUAUCUCCAGUGGCGAACGGGUGAGUAAUACAUAGGUAACCUGCCUUAUACAGGGGGACAACAGUUGGAAACGACUGCUAAUACCGCAUAAGCAUAACAAUCGCAUGAAUGAUAUGUAAAAGGUGCUGUAAGGCAUCGGUAUAAGAUGGACCUAUGGCGCAUUAGCUAGUUGGUAAGGUAACGGCUUACCAAGGCGACGAUGCGUAGCCGACCUGAGAGGGUGACCGGCCACAUUGGGACUGAGACACGGCCCAA